GAGGGUAUAGCUCAGUGGCAGAGCACCUGCUUGGCAUGAGCAAGGUCCUGGGUUCAAUCCCCAAUACCUCCA
rnacentral:tRNA from 1 species